rnacentral:rRNA from 1 species
UACGUAGGGUGCGAGCGUUAAUCGGAAUUACUGGGCGUAAAGGGUGCGCAGGCGGCGUCGCAAGUCAGGCGUGAAAUCCCCGGGCUUAACCUGGGAACUGCACUUGAAACUACGAUGCUGGAGUAUGGCAGAGGGAGGUGGAAUUCCACGUGUAGCGGUGAAAUGCGUAGAGAUGUGGAGGAACACCGAUGGCGAAGGCAGCCUCCUGGGCCGAAUACGUGACGCUCCAUGCACGAAAGCGUGGGGAGCAAACAGG